AGUUGGUCCGAGUACCGUGGUGUUUACAACUAAUUGAUCAUGACCAGUUACAGAUUCCUUUGUUCCUUCUCAUUCUGACUGCUCCACUUGACUAGCCUUAA
rnacentral:Y_RNA from 1 species